rnacentral:rRNA from 1 species
GAUGGACGCUGGCGGCGUGCCUAAUACAUGCAAGUCGAGCGAACAGACGAGGAGCUUGCUCCUCUGACGUUAGCGGCGGACGGGUGAGUAACACGUGGAUAACCUACCUAUAAGACUGGAAUAACUUCGGGAAACCGGAGCUAAUACCGGAUAAUAUAUUGAACCGCAUGGUUCAAUAGUGAAAGACGGUUUUGCUGUCACUUAUAGAUGGAUCCGCGCCGCAUUAGCUAGUUGGUAAGGUAACGGCUUACCAAGGCAACGAUGCGUAGCCGACCUGAGAGGGUGAUCGGCCACACUGGAACGGAGACACGGUCCCGACUCCUACGGGAGGCAGCAGUAGGGAAUCUUCCGCAAUGGGCGAAAGCCUGACGGAGCAACGCCGCGUGAGUGAUGAAGGUCUUCGGAUCGUAAAACUCUGUUAUUAGGGAAGAACAAAUGUGUAAGUAACUAUGCACGUCUUGACGGUACCUAAUCAGAAAGCCACGGCUAACUACGUG